rnacentral:tRNA from 6 species
GGAGGAUUAGCUCAGCUGGGAGAGCAUCUGCCUUACAAGCAGAGGGUCGGCGGUUCGAGCCCGUCAUCCUCCACC